rnacentral:rRNA from 1 species
AUGCUAAUAUUAUUAUAUAAUAGUUAAAUUAAGUAGUAGUGGUGUACAGGUGAGUAAAAGAUAAAUUGGCUACCUUAAAGUAAGGGAAAAAAUCCCUUAUAACCAAAGGUUGUUUUAAAUAACCGCUUUAAGAUGAUAAUUUUUAUCUCGGUGAGUAGUAGGAAAGGUAAUGACUUUUCUAGCAAUAAACCGUAGUCGUAACUGGAAAGUUGAUCGACCACAUUGGGUCUGAAAAAAACCCAAUGCUUUUAUGUACAGCAGUGAGGAAUAUUGGUCAAUGGCCGAAAGGCUGAACCAGUAACUUGGAAGAAUGAGAAUGAAAUUUUUUAUCGAUUCAUUCGCGAUUAACUCGCAUAAAAUUCUAAAUAGAUUGUAUAUAAUGACAUAAUCUAUUUAUAAGUCUUGACCAAACUACGUGCCAGCAGUCGCGGUAAUACGUAGGAGGCUAGUGUUAGUUAUCUUUAUUGGGUUUAAAGGGUAAGUAGACGGUAAAUUAAACUCUAAACGAGUACUUUUUUACUAGAGUUAUAUGAGAGAAGGAAGAAUUUCUGGAGUAGAGAUAAAAUUUGAUGAUACCAGGAGGACUGUCAACGGCGAAGGCGUCCUUCUAUGUAAUAACUGACGUUGAGAGACGAAGGCUUGGGUAGCAAACAGGAUUAGAUACCCUAAUAGUCCAAGCAGACAAUGAUGAAUGUCAUACAUUAGAUAUAAAUUUAAUGUAUAAACGAAAGUGUAAGCAUUCCACCUCAAGAGUACUAUGGCAACAUAUAAACUGAAAUCAUUAGACCGUUUCUAAAACCAGUAGUGAAGUAUGUUAUUUAAUUCGAUGAUCCGCGAAAAACCUUACCACAGCUUGUAUAGCAGAUUAUAAAAAAUUGUUACAAGCGCUGCAUGGCUGUCUUUAGUUAAUGUCGUGAGAUUUGGUUAAUUCCUUUAAUUAACGAAAACCCUCACUUUAUUUGUUUAUAUAAAGUGGUUCGCUACUACAUCGGACCAGAUAAAAGGGAUUAAGACAAGUCAUUAUGGCCUUAAUGCUGUGGGCUAUAGACGUGCCACAUACGCCUUUACAACGGGAUGCGAUAUUGUGAAAUGGAGCUAAUCCCCAAAAAAGGAAAUAAUAUGGAUUGUAGUCUGUAACUCGACUACAUGAAAAAGGAAUUACUAGUAAUCGUGAAUCACCAACGUCACGGUGAAUUAUCAGUAGCCC